rnacentral:lncRNA from 1 species
GUAUGUAUUGUUUCUUGGAGAAGAGAACACACAGGACUUCUUUGUAGUGAACACAAAAGUGAUUUUUUUUCCUCUAAAUUUAAUUUUUUGCAGGCUGCUGAACACAGAUAAACCAUGUCCUUCUCAGAUUUUCAGGCUAACACAACCCAGACUGUGCUGCCUAAUGUCACGAGCCGAAUCCCUGUGGAGUGUUUUUUGUGAAUGCUGUGGUGAUGGGAGCUGGAGAAAUUACUGUAAAUGCUGAAGCUCGUCUGAGAAGAGCAGUUUGCAAUGACUUUUGAGAUUUUAACAUUUUGUUCUAGCUUUGGAUAAAACAGUUCAGGUACACAUUUUCUUUUCUCCUUCCCUAUGGAAAUUCCACCCUGGAGUUGGAAAAUGAUCAUCAAUAUUAGUAUAUUCUUGCAAAAAUCAUUUUUGUGUUAAUAAAAUGGUGUAUUUUGAGGAAAAUCA